UGAAGGCGGAAAUGAAGCAGGAUCUGGCUUGCAUCUGGUGCAUGAAGAAAUUGCUGACACGUUAGUUGCAGUCUACCUCCACCAACAGGGUGGAAAACAAAGGUCGCCAUUCCGAUUAGCUGCUAUCUCCCAGUUCAAGCACUUUUGCUGUCUGGACACUGGUUCCUGUGGAUGGGGUGUUACAAGCUUCACUGUCUGAUAUAGAAGUGAUGAGCAUCCAUAAGGACACAUGCCAGAAAGAGAGUCUCUUUGGGAUGACAAACCCUCAUCACCUCAUGAGGAUACAAUGGUUGACGAAUGGUUCUCAAGCACAUCGAAACUUCAACAAAU